CUUUUGACCUCGGAUCAGGUAGGGAUACCCGCUGAACUUAAGCAUAUCAAUAAGCGGAGGAAAAGAAACCAACAGGGAUUGCCCCAGUAACGGCGAGUGAAGCGGCAACAGCUCAAAUUUGAAAUCUGGCUCUUUCAGAGUCCGAGUUGUAAUUUGCAGAGGGCGCUUUGGCGUUGGCAGCGGUCCAAGUUCUUUGGAACAGGACGUCACAGAGGGUGAGAAUCCCGUACGUGGUCGCUAGCCUUCGCCGUGUAAAGCCCCUUCGACGAGUCGAGUUGUUUGGGAAUGCAGCUCUAAAUGGGAGGUAAAUUUCUUCUAAAGCUAAAUACUGGCCAGAGACCGAUAGCGCACAAGUAGAGUGAUCGAAAGAUGAAAAGCACUUUGGAAAGAGAGUCAAAUAGCACGUGAAAUUGUUGAAAGGGAAGCGCUUGCAGCCAGACUUGCCUGUAGUUGCUUAUCCGGACUUUUGUCCGGUGCACUCUUCUGCGGGCAGGCCAGCAUCAGUUUGGGCGGUUGGAUAAAGGUCUCUGUCAUGUACCUCCUUUCGGGGAGGCCUUAUAGGGGAGACGACAUGCAACCAGCCUGGACUGAGGUCCGCGCAUCUGCUAGGAUGCUGGCGUAAUGGCUGUAAGCGGCCCGUCUUGAAACACGGACCAAGGAGUCUAACAUCUAUGCGAGUGUUUGGGUGUCAAGCCCAGACGCGUAAUGAAAGUGAACGGAGGUGGGAACCCUUUGGGUGCACCAUCGACCGAUCCUGAUGUCUUCGGAUGGAUUUGAGUAAGAGCAUGGCUGUUGGGACCCGAAAGAUGGUGAACUAUGCUUGAAUAGGGUGAAGCCAGAGGAAACUCUGGUGGAGGCUCGCAGCGGUUCUGACGUGCAAAUCGAUCGUCAAAUUUGGGCAUAGGGGCGAAAGACUAAUCGAACUAUCUAGUAGCUG
rnacentral:rRNA from 1 species